ACAAUGAAAAUGGGUGUUUGACAUCUUCCCAGAAGCGGCACAAAAAGACAGCAAAAUCAGGCUGGUAAAAUGCUGAAUAAACAAAUGAAAGCGUUUGGUCUGAAUGUGAAUGACUCGAAGGGAGAAGGGGCCCGAGGAGACCUCCUCCGGGGAACGAUGGACAUCUCAGAAUUGAAGUUAAGGCUAUAGGUGGGAGGCGGGCGCCACCGUGCACAGGGGUGAGGGAGUUGUCUUAGCAAAAUCUGUCAUGCGGGCCUCUGGGGACUGUCAGGAGAGGAUCUGUGUCACCUGCCGAUUCUACCUCACUUCAGUCCAUGCCAGGUGGCGAGAGCGCAGGUGUGAGAAGAUAGGCCGGCCAAAGAAACCAGGAGGUUGCGGGGAGCCCGAGCCACAGGUGGGGGCCACUGUUAAGGCCAGGGAGGUUCCUCCUACCGCCAGCUUCCUGCGGCGACCCCCCAGUCCAGGUGGACCGGCCAACCACUAGCCACACAGGCUCGAGGCACGGGCCACGCCGUGUGCGGGGAACUGAACCACAGGCGGCUAACGCUAGCGCACAGCCCCAAGUCGACCAAUUGCCAGUGCGUGGGGCACUCACUACGGAGCCCAAGGCUCUGCCACAUUCAGCCACUGUCCUGGGCCCCUGGCCCUCGGUGGCAGCGUUUGUGAGGGUUCUCCAAACCAGCGAGCCCUCUCGAAAGAGUUUUGUUUAAAUAUGAAAGAGACUUAGUCCCAAGACAGUGGACACCGACGCUGCACAUGGAUGUAAUUCCCUCGUCUUCCAUUAAGCUCCAGAGGCCCUGUCGUUCUGCCUACUUCUGAAUUUUCACUUUUAUUCACUGUAAGUCUAAUCUAAAGUGUACCGUAUGCUUUUUUGCAGCCAAAGUUAUUAAUAUUUGCAGUUAGGGUUGUGGAGAAUGUGAAUCAAAAUAAUAAACAAGAAGAGAAAUAUUUUCGUGAAUUUGGGAGUUUGUACUGCUUGGGGUCGUGAACUCUGUUACUGCUACUUGACAAUCCAGAAGGCUCCUUGUGCACACAGGAUUCAGGCUGCUUCCCCAACAGUCCCCAGGGAUGUGUGUGGCUGCGGUCUACACCCAGAGAAGCUGACUGGUCCCAGAUCUCAGGUCAGUAAGUUGCAAGAACCCAGGAAAAAACUAUGAUCAGCCAUGCUUCUGCAAAGGAACAGAUCUCCAGAUUCCCACUUCUAUGGUUAGGAUGCACUCUAAAUUCAAAAUUACCUAACAGAAUGGAGGAUGUGAAAGGUAAAGAUGAACUAAAACACCACUCUUUAGAAUCGGAAUCUUGGGGGAAAUCCCACAACUAGACAUACUUGAACUUGUCCCUUUUUGUUGGUUGGUUUCAAAUGUUUAAAAUCUUCUUGAAGUUUGACUUGAUAGCAAUUUCAGCCUGGUCUGACCUCCAAUACCUGUUGGGUGACAUCGUGUGGCACCGCCUGGCAUUUUUACACAAGGAGAGCCUUCGGAAAUCUAAAGAUUUUAGAAGCAGCAGCUCCUUCUUAAGGCUGGUAGAUAAAUUAGUUGAGACUUUGCCGCAUCGUAGGGGAGCUUAUGACUCUGCCUUAGGCUUGCGGGAGGGAAUGAACAUGCCCGGCAACUUGACCAGGAAGGAAUCCUCCUCCCCCCUCACAGACAGGCAGUGAGUAUCGACCUCUGCGCCAAAUCUGCUCUACUUCCGUGCACCCAGGGAAAAUUUGCAGUCUGCAGGGCUGCUAGGCGGGUACAAGGAUGUUCGCAUACGAACAGGCAAGACCUCAUGUCCCGCGGGGGGUCUGGGGACUCUGCGAGAGCUUUAGCAGUUCUGCAGCACCAGCCUAGACUGGUUCAGAAACUGAUAUGGUUUAGAGCUCUGGUUAUAUGGAGGUAACAUACAACUCCCUCUUGUUCCUACCAACUCCUUCAGCUGCCACACAUCUUCCCAGUUCUCACAUAGGUUCAAUGCCAUCUCUCCCUUUCCACCUGCUGAACUUGGCUGUGACCAUGUGGCCUCAGCUGCUGCGGAUCCCCUGGGCGUGCCAGGGGUAGCAACUCAGUGGGCAGGGGGCCUGUCCGCAGCUCUGGCGGCUCCCCGCAGGCCCCACUCAUGCCGGCGGUUGCAGGUACUGGGUGCUCUUGGCAUUCUCAAGAGCGCAGGAAGAGUCAAUUUUAGGUGUUUUGGGCCACUAAGUAUCCGCGGCAAGCCGAAGACCCCGCUCUGGGAGCAAGAGAAGCCGAAGCUGCAGACAGGGUCAGCGGGAUCCCAGCAGAAGAGGGUGAUGCUGAAGCCUUCCCGGGGCGCGGACCGAGUGCUAGGGCGAGGUAGUCAGCGACCCGCUGAGACCGACCGAGAGACGACGGAUCUGAGGCAGAGAAAGAGGAUGAAGGAAGGAAAAGAGAGAACACUAAGGUCUGGUCAGUCCCGAUGAAUGUAAGGAUGCAGGACCUAGAACAAGAACAAGGGUCAGCUGGAGUCUGCCGCCUGGUUACACUGCUCACUCUGGACUCAGAAGAUCUCAAAGAGAUCGGAAGAAUUUCGACUAAAAGGAGAAAUUUAAGACCAAAACCAAAACACCAGUAAGGCCUGCAGCUGGCUCAGGCCAGGGAGAAGCCAAAAAGCCUUUCCCUAGCCGCGUCGAGGCCUCCUCCGAGGGGCGACUCGCUCUCUGGAUAAAUAUUUACUCAGUGGGAGACUGGAAGCCGGGCCGAGAGUGUGAAGGAGGGGGCUACACUGGGUGGGAGGAACCAGUACACUCGGCGCUGGCCGGAUCCUUGUGUACACCCGCCCAAGGGGAGCAGGGGCCGGGGACUCUGGGGGCGACUCGGCCCAGGCGUGUGGCUGGGGAAGCUUUAGACCCCAGCAUCGGAUCGACCGGACUCCGCCCUGCCCUCGCGGACCCCAGCCAGAUGCUGUGAAGUCUCCAUAAAUCUGUCAGCCGUCCCAGUGCCGCGGGCAGUCACCUGCGGCGCCCCCUUCCCGGCGCUAGAGCGGCCCGCGGAGAGACGCGGAGAAGCAACGGGAAUCUAGCCCGGCAGACUGUACCCGAGGGCUGCCGAAGUCAGACCCAAGCACUACAGGUUGUGCGGAACGCGAGGACCCCUCCCUGUAUCCCCAACCUGGACCGACCCCCGGAAGCCUGCUCCUCCGGGUCUACAGGGAUGAAGGUCAGAGUGUCAAAUUGCAGAUUUUGGAUCCUCAAUAAUGGGCCGCUGUAUUUAACCUCUUCAACUUCUUUUCUCCACUUAUAAGAAGGAACAAAAUAAAAUGUUUUGUGGAAGUUUAUAUUGAAAUGAGGUCAGGUAAACUAAUGACUGCUUGGUAUUUUAUGACAAGUUUUAUAACCUUGGAGUUGCCAUAACUUUCAAACGAUCAUCAAUAAAGUUUUAUUGCAAAAGGGUC
rnacentral:lncRNA from 1 species